rnacentral:rRNA from 1 species
GACGAACGCUGGCGGCGUGCUUAACACAUGCAAGUCGAACGGAAAGGCCCUGCUUUGGUGGGGUGCUCGAGUGGCGAACGGGUGAGUAACACGUGAGUAACCUGCCCUUGACUGUGGGAUAACUUCAGGAAACUGGGGCUAAUACCGGAUAAGAGCUCCUGCUGCAUGGUGGGGGUUGGAAAGUUUCGACGGCUGGGGAUGGACUCGCGGCUUAGCUGCUUGUUGGAGGGGUAGGGGCUUACCAUGGCUUUGACGGGGAGCCGGCCUGAGAGGGUGACCGGCCACAGUGGGAUUGAGAAACGGCCAAGACUGCUACGGGAGGCAGCAGCGGGGGAUAUAGCAAAAUGGGCGGAAGGCGGAUGCAGCGACGCCGCGUGCGGGAUGACGGUCGUCGGGGUGUAACGCGUGUGCGCCUGUGACGAAGAGUGAGUGACGGUAAUGUGUAAAGAAGCAACGGCUAACUACGUG